rnacentral:rRNA from 1 species
CAAAAACAUGUCCUUUUGUAUAAUUUAUAUAAGGUCUAACCUGCCCAAUGAGUAGUUUAAUGGCCGCGGUAUUUUAACCGUGCUAAGGUAGCAUAAUCAUUUGUCUUUUAAUUGAGGGCUGGAAUGAAAGGUUGGACGAGGUAUAAGCUUUCUUUAAUUUAGUUUAUGAAUUUAAUUUUUGAGUUAAAAAGCUUAAAUUUUUUUAUUGGACGAGAAGACCCUAUAGAUCUUUAUAAUAAUUUUAUAUUAAUUAAUUUAGUGAAUUAAUUUAUUUUAAUUUAUUUUAUUAUUUUGUUGGGGUGACUGUAGAAUUUUUUUAACUUCUAUUUUUAUUUUUCAUUUAUUAGUGUUUAAUUGAUCCAUGAUUCAUGAUUAUAAGAUUAAGUUACCUUAGGGAUAACAGCGUA